UUCCACAUCAUCACCGUAAAUAGUCGAAAUGUAGAAAGAGACCUCAUCAUCUCUCUUACUUAAAUCCUCAUAACCCAAUAAAUAAGAUCCCAAAAACACGUGAUCUGACUCAACAUAACUAAUUCUCCCCAAAGACCGACGGUCGAGAUUUCUUUGGGAUUUGUGUUUCAAACCACAGAACACUUCAUGCGUCUCACAUGGCUCCCAACAGUGAGGUACAACAAUGCAAAAAGCAAAGCCUACUAAUAUUUUACAUGAGGCUAGUUGCUCAAUUCCAG
rnacentral:lncRNA from 1 species